rnacentral:rRNA from 1 species
GACGAACGCUGGCGGCGUGCCUAAUACAUGCAAGUCGAACGCUGAAGGAGGAGCUUGCUUCUCCGGAUGAGUUGCGAACGGGUGAGUAACGCGUAGGUAACCUGCCUGGUAGCGGGGGAUAACUAUUGGAAACGAUAGCUAAUACCGCAUAACAGUAGAUAUUGCAUGAUAUCUGCUUGAAAGGUGCACUUGCAUCACUACCAGAUGGACCUGCGUUGUAUUAGCUAGUUGGUGGGGUAACGGCGCACCAAGGCGACGAUACAUAGCCGGCCUGGGGGGGGGGGCGGCCAGACUGGGACGGGGACACGGGCCAGACUCCUACGGGAGGCAGCAGGAGGGGAUCUUCGGCAAUGGGCGGGAGUCUGACCGGGGAACGCCGCGGGAGGGAAGAAGGGUUUCGGAUCGGAAAGCUCGGUUGUAAGAGAAGAACGAGUGUGAGAGUGGAAAGUUCACACUGUGACGGUAGCUGACCAGAAAGGGACGGCUAACUACGUG